rnacentral:rRNA from 1 species
UACGGAGGGUGCAAGCGUUAUCCGGAUUCACUGGGUUUAAAGGGUGCGUAGGUGGGCAGGUAAGUCAGUGGUGAAAUCUCCGAGCUUAACUCGGAAACUGCCGUGGAUACUAUCAAUCUUGAAUACUGUGGAGGUAAGCGGAAUAUGUCAUGUAGCGGUGAAAUGCUUAGAUAUGACAUAGAACACCGAUAGCGGAGGCAGCUUGCUACACAGUCAUUGACACUGAGGCACGAAAAGCGUGGGGAUCAAACAGG